CCUGGCGGCCGUAGCGCGGUGGUCCCACCUGACCCCAUGCCGAACUCAGAAGUGAAACGCCGUAGCACCGAUGGUAGUGUGGGGUCUCCCCAUGCGAGAGUAGGGAACUGCCAGGC
rnacentral:rRNA from 1 species